GUCCGAGUCAACAACGACCGCCUACGUCUCGGUCGACCUACAGGGUGUCGGCAGAAUUUGGGAUGCUGGACUGGUGGUGGACUUUGCAAAGUGGAUGGAAAUGGCUGUAGUUAACACUUAUUUCCAGAAGAGAGAGGAACAUAGAGUUACAUAUAAGAGUGGAGAGGACACCGCCUCACUUCUUGCCUGUGGAGGAUGUCACCAGCCUGAUUUGCUGAUUUUUUUGUUGUUUUCUUGGUGCCCUGUGAUAUCACCACACACCUGUUCCUGUGGGGGACAUUGCCUCACUUCUUGUCCACGGGGGAUGUUGCAGGCCUGUAUCGGUUUGCCUUUCCUGUUUUUAUUUGUUUGUUUUUUUGUGUGUGGACAUUUAUUUCUUUUGCUUGUGUCCUGUAGGUGGAGGAGGAUUUUUCCCACCCUUCCUCCUUUCUGGACAUGGGUCUGGCUGCAGCCCUUCUGCUCAGCUGUGGACAUCGCUUGGCCACUUUGGCUACGCUGCCGGGUGCCUCGCUCCCCCACCUGCCUUGCCAUGUGCCUCGCUUCUCCCAUCUGCCUGCCAUGUGCCUCCCUCCCCCCAAGUGCCUCACUGUGUCCCUCUUUCCCUCUCCUGGACCUUGCCUGGCCCUGGGAUUGGCGUGCCAAGAGCUGCACCUCGAGGGGGAGUACUAUCAGGAUCAUGCCCAGACUUAUUGCCUGUUAAAACAUUAGGGGGCGUUCGGGCAGUUGUCUUUUGUCCCAUGUGUUUUUGUUUACAUUUUGUGUUCGGAUGUCUGCCCCGCCCUUGUCUAAUUCCUUCCCACCUCAGCACACCUGUUCCUCAUGUGUCUAAUUGUCUCCCUUGUCAAUGUGUUGUCUUCGUGGUCUCUUUUUUGUGUCUCUGUUCUUUGAGUUUUAGUUUAAUUUUUUUCCCAGUUUUUGUGUUGUUUUAUGUAAUAAAUCAUGUUUUUUAGCUA